rnacentral:rRNA from 1 species
AGUUUGAUCCUGGCUCAGAUUGAACGCUGGCGGCAUGCCUUACACAUGCAAGUCGAACGGCAGCGGGCCUUCGGGUGCCGGCGAGUGGCGAACGGGUGAGUAAUGCAUCGGAACGUGCCAUUGAGUGGGGGAUAACGUAGCGAAAGUUGCGCUAAUACCGCAUAUUCUGUGAGCAGGAAAGCAGGGGACCGCAAGGCCUUGCGCUCUUUGAGCGGCCGAUGUCAGAUUAGCUAGUUGGUGAGGUAAAGGCUUACCAAGGCGACGAUCUGUAGCGGGUCUGAGAGGAUGAUCCGCCACACUGGAACUGAGACACGGUCCAGACUCCUACGGGAGGCAGCAGUGGGGAAUUUUGGACAAUGGGGCAACCCUGAUCCAGCCAUGCCGCGUGAGUGAAGAAGGCCUUCGGGUUGUAAAGCUCUUUCGGCCGGGAAGAAAUCGCAUGGGUGAAUACCCUGUGUGGAUGACGGUACCGGAACAAGAAGCACCGGCUAACUACGUG